ACGGGGGGAGCAAGCGUUGUUCGGAUUUACUGGGCGUAAAGGGCGCGUAGGCGGCCACGACAAGUCACUUGUGAAAUCUCCGGGCUUAACUCGGAACGGUCAAGUGAUACUGUCGGGCUAGAGUACAGAAGGGGCAACUGGAAUUCUCGGUGUAGCGGUGAAAUGCGUAGAUAUCAAGAGGAACACCUGAGGUGAAGACGGGUUGCUGGGCCGACACUGACGCUGAGUGCGCGAAAGCCAGGGGAGCAAACGGGA
rnacentral:rRNA from 1 species